rnacentral:rRNA from 1 species
GAGUUUGAUCCUGGCUCAGGAUGAACGCUGGCGGCGUGCUUAACACAUGCAAGUCGAACGAAGCGCCUUAUUUGAUUUUCUUCGGAACUGAAGAUUUGGUGACUGAGUGGCGGACGGGUGAGUAACGCGUGGGUAACCUGCCCUGUACAGGGGGAUAACAGUUGGAAACGGCUGCUAAUACCGCAUAAGCGCACGGCAUCGCAUGAUGCAGUGUGAAAAACUCCGGUGGUAUAAGAUGGACCCGCGUUGGAUUAGCUAGUUGGUGAGGUAACGGCCUACCAAGCCAACGAUCAGUAGCCGGACUGAGAGGUUGAACGGCCACAUUGGGACUGAGAUACGGCCCAGACUCCUACGGGAGGCAGCAGUGGGGAAUAUUGCACAAUGGGGGAAACCCUGAUGCAGCGACGCCGCGUGGAGGAAGAAGGUCUUCGGAUUGUAAACUCCUGUUGUUGGGGAAGAUAAUGACGGUACCCAACAAGGAAGUGACGGCUAACUACGUGCCAGCCGCCGCGGUAAUUC